GGCUGCUCGGGUCCUGUUACCAACCUCUCUUCCGUCUUGAGCUAUCCUCGCUUUUAUUCCCCCCGGCCUGGUCUUUCGUCUUCGCUGCCACCACCAUGUCCUCCGACUUCGAGGGCUACGAGCAGGACUUCUCGGUGCUCACGGCUGAGAUCACGAACCGCAUCGGGAAGGUGCCCAAGUUGCUGGGGGAUGAAAAAAAACAGAUGGUUUCAAAUGUGGAGAAGCAGCUGGAAGAAGCAAGAGAACUGUUGGAACAAAUGGAACUUGAAGUUCGAGAAAUCCCUCCACAGAGCCGAGGCAUGUACAGCAGCAGAAUGAGGAGCUACAAGCAAGAGAUGGAAAAACUUGAAGCUGAUUUUAAAAGGUCACGGAUUGCCUACAGUGACGAGGUGCGGAAUGAGCUCCUAGGGGAUGAUGGGAAUUCCUCAGAGAUCCAGUUGAUAAAAUUACGUGAAGAGAGGGCACAUCUGCUCGAUAACACAGAGAGGCUGGAAAGGUCAUCUCGGAGACUAGAGGCUGGAUACCAAAUAGCAGUGGAAACUGAGCAGAUUGGUCAGGAGAUAUUGGAAAACCUCAGCCAUGACCGAGAGAAGAUUCAGCAUGCUCGAGAAAGAGUCAGAGAAACAGAUGCAAAUUUGGGUAAGAGUUCGAGGAUCCUGACAGGAAUGUUACAAAGGUGCCGGGGCUCUGAGGAGGCCUCCCAUAACAUUUGGAGCUCCACCCCCGAGACAGGAGGCCACAGUCCAGAUCCCCAAAGUCUGUGACAAAGUGUGCCUCUGUUUGGCAUGGUGUCAAUGCUGGAGAAAAAGCACCGUGUGAAGUGCAUUGCUAUCAUGAAUGAUCUUGAACAAAGUGCUUGCAUUCACUGAGGAUUAUCCAAAACCGGAUUUUGAUAGUUAUCUUGGGAAUCAUCGUCAUCUUUGCCGUCGUGAUGGUUAUUUAUUUUUCUGUCAAGGAACACUGAUAUCUUUAUUCGUCACUAACCAGCAACAAACUGCUUCAGAGUAAUUAAGACAAAGUGGUCACAUGAAUCAUUCUCUUGCACUGAAAUGGUUCUCCCCCUCCAAGUCUGCUGUUCAACUCUGGUGCAAGUAGCAUAUAUAUAUUUUGUCUUACUGACUGCAUGCACAUUUAAUAUUUUUCUUUGUUUUAAAGAGUGUGUUGUACUAUGAAUGUUUUUAUUUUCCCGUAUAAACAUUUGGAAUGAGCAUUUGUAAUUAGCAGAUAUAGAAGAUGGCAUAAGUAAUUAUUGUAUUAAAUUUCAGUUCAGAUUAAUAAUGCUGAUAGUGAAAGAGUUUAGAUGCCUGCUUGUAGUGGGUUGGUGUUUAAAUCUCUGGCAGAAAAUUCCUUUUUAGGAUGUUGAAGUGGGGGGGGAGGAGACGUGGCGGGGGGCAGAACACUAUUACAAGUGAGAUAUGCUUGUACUUGAAUAACUAUUACAAAUGUGACCCAGCAAAGCAGGGAAGUUAUUUCCAAUAAACAUAUCACCUUUUUUCAGGGUAGUUUAAUGUCCACUGCAAACCUAUUAUUCAAAUAGAAUCAUUGUCUUUUUUUCAAAUGUGUGUGUGUGCAUGCGUUCAUUUCCCUCCUUAUCUGCAUCAAGCCCUGGAUUGCAGUGUUGCCCUAUGACCAAGUUUUUAUGCUGUUAAUUCUGCUUUGUAUCAUUGUGAUUUUAAUGUACAUGGUAUUCAAAGCAAGAAAGAGAUUGAUUAAUAGAUAUUUAGAGAUCCCCUCUAAGUAAUUUCUGAAUUUUAAUUUAAAUUCCACAUAAUAAUGAGAUUUAAAAUGUUGAAGUACUGUGUUAAAAUAAAUAUGGUGAUAGUGUGUGGGGAGAAGCAUUUUAAUGAAUAGUAUCCAACCUUUAAUAGCCAUUUCAUUUGAACAAAAAUUGUCUUAGCUGGUAUACAGCACCAGGAUUACAUUUGUUCAGACUGUCUGUAAGGGGUGUGUGGGAAUACCCAGUUCCAAAUAAUCAUGUAACUGUUAAACAAAAACCUAGUUAAACAAAACACCCUUCUAUUUUCUUUUCUAUGCCAUUGUCUUAGCUGCUACUGUCUUCCAGCCUUCUUUUGGGACACUGAGAGUCAAGUUGUUGCUAUCCCUUCUGCCUUCUCUUUUCCACAUAUUAUGUGGCUCACAUAUACACACUGUGGGAAGCCAUGGCCAAUGCUGCCUGACUGCCACAUGUGUGCAUGAUGAAUAUAACUGAAAACAUGCAUUUGUUUGAACACACACAUUACACUUUCAUUACAUGAACAUUUUUUAAGAUAUUUCUUUAAAAUAUAACAUCUGAAGUAACUCUAGUUCUGUGACUAGAUGGGAUGAUGAUGAUGGGACUGAAAGGACAAAUUCAAUUAUUGCUAGAUAAUUUGCACUGAGAUAAUUAGAACAUCCGCUCACAUUUGGCAACAUAAUGCAGGUUGGCAACAUAAUCCAGUAUGGAUUCUGCUCCUACCAUCAUAGCCCAGCACAGACUCUUCCCGGACUAUUCUCUCUUCCCUAAUAGAAUGGAUGUGUGGCAGUGGAGAAGGCACAAAAGAGGUUUCCAUAGUAGGGUCUGCACUCCAGCAUUCAGAGCAACCAGGAAUUGUGGGAAAUGUUUUCCUUGGACAUUGAGAACCAUGGAGAAGUACAUUUCCUAUGGUUCCUUGUAUCCCUGGAUACUUCAGCUGAUGUUCAUAAUAAUGUCUAAGGUUCUACCACUGCACUUGCCACAAGCUUGCCAUCUCAACAUCCAGGAAAAGACAGAGAAGGAACAAUGAGGAGGGCUUAUAUUGUGGAUCCAAACCAGAUCCAGAUUGAGUCAGCCUGGAUUCCGGAGGGACCCGAUCCCAAUCUUAAAUGGAUCCAGAGAUGAACCCAUCUAAUCAGCUAUCUAACUCUUAACUACAGGCCCCCCCUUUCACUAGACAAAUCCCUAUUGUAUCCCUAACGCACAUUAAGUUCUUCUCAGCUUUGACUGACUUCCUUGAAAGUCAAGAGCCUCACACAAAAUGGUCAUGGCUAAUAUGAAGCUUUGAAGUCAUAAACUGUCAUAAACUGUAUUAAGCAAGUAUGCUUCUGUUGCUUGGUAAUAAUCAUAAUUAUAAUUUUUUCAUCCAUCUAACUUGGAGAUAUGAGAGAGAAAUUUUAAUAAUGCUUUUUAAAAUUCAGUAUAUAGAAUGCCUUGUAAAGAUUAUGAAACCAGAGAUUCUGAACCCUUAGGGAUCAGACUAAACUUAUUGUAUGGUUUUCAUCAUCAUUGUAAACCAUACAAUAUUUGAGGGACACAAAAGAUAGUCAGAGAAUCACCUGAAGGUCAUAAGACUUUAGUAGCUUAAGCUCACCUAGUGUUUUAGAGAACACUGCAUUUCUAUUGGUUCCUAUGAGAUCCCUAGUCAAACACCUGGGAAUGGAAUUUGGUCCUGAAUCUGUUUACUCAUCAGACACAAAGAAUUGAGUGAAAUCUAUGUUGAUGUAGCCGACUCAAAUAAAACUUGUAUAGCUUAGUGAAGAAAUUCAAGAUGAGGAGAUUCACAGGAGAAAUGCUGCUUAUUGAAAAAGGUUAGGGCAUGCAUGUCUUCAGAUAAAUCAUUUAAGUUGUGUAAACAGAACUGUAGCCUUUACCAUCUUAAUAAUAGGGAAGGACUGAGUUCAUGGGAUCUGGGCAAGCAGGGAUGAGGGAGAAGGCUGCUAGUGUUAAAAGUAUGUAUCGAAGCAGGUCAGAAGAUGUGAAUUUUCAUAAAUCCUUUUGUUCUUAUAAUAAAACUGUAAAUAUAUAUCUCAAAGAAGAAAAUAUUAAAUUCUUUUGGCUUUCUGGUUA